GACGUAGGGCGCAAGCGUUGUCCGGAUUUAUUGGGCGUAAAGAGCUCGUAGGCGGCUUGUCGCGUCGACUGUGAAAACCCGCGGCUCAACUGUGGGCUUGCAGUCGAUACGGGCAGGCUGGAGUUCGGUAGGGGAGACUGGAAUUCCUGGUGUAGCGGUGAAAUGCGCAGAUAUCUGGAGGAACACCGGUGGCGAAGGCGACAUCCUGGACCGGUAUUGACGCUGAGGCGCGAAAGCCAGGGGAGCAAACGGG
rnacentral:rRNA from 1 species